CGCUCCUUGAUUUUAAUUAAUAAGGAGUCGGACCUGCCCAGUGAUAAGUAUUUAACGGCCGCGGUACUCUGACCGUGCAAAGGUAGCAUAAUCAUUUGCCCUAUAAUUGAGGGCUAGUAUGAAUGGUUUGACAAGAACAAUACUGUCUCUUUCAAAANUUUCUAGAAUUUAUUCUUUAGGUGAAGAAACCUGAAUAAAAUUAAAAGACAAGAAGACCCUAUCGAGCUUAAACUCUUUUUAUAAAAUAAAAAAAAUUAAUGAUAUUUUUUGUUAUAAAAAAUUUUGGUUGGGGCGACUAAGGAACAAAAAAAGCUUCUUUAUUUAAUAAAGACAAAUGUGUAUUGAUCCAUAAAANUCUUGAUUAAAAGAAUUAGUUACCGUAGGGAUAACAGCAUAAUCUUUUUUAAGAGUUCUUAUCGAAAAAAAGGUUUGUGACCUCGAUGUUGGACUAAAAUUUCCUAAUAGAUGCAGACGUCUUUAAGGG
rnacentral:rRNA from 1 species